rnacentral:rRNA from 1 species
UACGGGGGGGGCAAGCGUUGUUCGGAAUUACUGGGCGUAAAGGGCUCGUAGGCGGCCAACUAAGUCAGACGUGAAAUCCCCAGGCUCAACCUGGGAACUGCGUCUGAUACUGGAUGGCUUGAAUCCGGGAGAGGGAUGCAGAAUUCCAGGUGUAGCGGUGAAAUGCGUAGAUAUCUGGAGGAAUACCGGUGGCGAAGGCGGCAUCCUGGACCGGCAUUGACGCUGAGGAACGAAAGCCAGGGGAGCAAACGGG